rnacentral:rRNA from 1 species
UAUAGCAAUAGCUACUUGCAUCAUAGUAGAUAUGAUGCAAGAUCGACUAUGUUGAAUAAAAUUCUAGGUAGAAUUAUGAUAAUGACAUUGUCUGCCUAUGUGUCUUGACCAAAUUACGUGCCAGCAGUCGCGGUAAUACGUAGAAGACUAGUGUUAUUCAUGUUUAAUCGGUUUAAAGGGUACCUAGACGGUAGAUCAAGCUUUCUAAUAAAGGAAAAGGACUAAUUUACUAGAGUUACUUAUGAGGGGGUAUUAAAGUACUGCUGGUGUAGAGAUGAAAUUCUGUCAUACCUCUUUUCAAAAGAAAAACCAUGGCACAGGUAUAGGCGAAGGCAUCCCCUUAUGUGAUAACUGACGUUGAGGGACGAAGGCUUUGUGUAGCGAACAGGAUUAGAUACCCCAGUAGUCGAAGCAGAAAAUGAUGAAUGUCAUAGAUUAGAUAUAUAAGUUUAUUCUAUAAAUGAAAGUGUAAGCAUUCCACCUCAUGAGUAAUUUGGCAACAUUGGAACUGAAAUCAUUAGACCGUUUCUGAAACCAGUAGUGAAGUAUGUUGUUUAAUUUGAUGAUCCGCAAAAAACCUUACCACAAUUUGAAUAUUUAUAUUGUUUAUUGUUUUAUUAUUAAUUUUCUUGAACGUAAAAGAAAAGAGAGAUGUAGGAUAAUAGUAAGAAAAUUAAUAAAGAAGCAAUAAGA